UACAGUUCUUGGUUCUCAUCUUUCACCUCAUUUUCUACUUUUUUCUGUUUUUUUAGUGUUGAAAUAAGUGGUGAGAGACUCUCUAUUCCUUUUCUUGUCAACUUGUUACUGGGCCACAUCGGGCCGGCCCAGUUGGCCCAUCAACCUCACCGCAGGAGGCGCGGAUUGAACCCGAGAUGCCUGGGAGAUUGACGUGGUACGCAGACCACCUGUCCUAGAAGUUCCCG
rnacentral:lncRNA from 1 species